rnacentral:rRNA from 1 species
UUGGGCUUUGCCUGCUAUCUCUUACCCAUGUCUUUUGAGUACUUACGUUUCCUCGGUGGGUUCGCCCGCCGAUUGGACAAUUUAAACCCUUUGCAGUUGCAAUCAGCGUCUGAAAAACAUAAUAGUUACAACUUUCAACAACGGAUCUCUUGGUUCUGGCAUCGAUGAAGAACGCAGCGAAAUGCGAUAAGUAGUGUGAAUUGCAGAAUUCAGUGAAUCAUCGAAUCUUUGAACGCACAUUGCGCCCCUUGGUAUUCCAUGGGGCAUGCCUGUUCGAGCGUCAUUUGUACCUUCAAGCAUUGCUUGGUGUUGGGUGUUUGUCUCGCCUUUGCGUGUAGACUCGCCUUAAAACAAUUGGCAGCCGGCGUAUUGAUUUCGGAGCGCAGUACAUCUCGCGCUUUGCACUCAUAACGACGACGUCCAAAAGUACAUUUAACACUAAAGACCUCGAUCAGUAGGAUAC